rnacentral:lncRNA from 1 species
GAGCUUUGCCAAAGGGUGGUUGUUUCUUUGUAUGAGAGAUGUGAAUAUCCCAGAUGAGGUAAAAACGUUAAACCCAAUAUUUGUUCUUCCAUUUGGUGCUUAUUUUAUACCAUUCAUGGCUCCUCUCAGCUAUAAAAAAAACCAUUAAUGUUUUCAUGAUCUUCUUGUAAUGCAAUAAUAACUGAAGAGAAGGAGGAAGAGCAUUCAAUUCAGUCUGAAGAGGAAUUGGAAAUAUGGUCAAAUAAGCAAUGAGGACUUAUACGUGGAAGGGGUACCAUCUGCAGAAGACUCUACAGUCAAAAUAUGUAGAAAUCAUCAUCACACGUUAAAGGCUUUAGGCUUCAUUUUGGUACCCUGUUUUACCACAGACCUUUUACUAAACCUGCUCUCUUAUUUGGACGUUUCACACACAAAAGAGGCAAACAAUUCCUCCACAUUCCAGGUACAAGUUACCACAACGCGCGUUUCACAGACCGUGCAUCAACACACUGAUAUAUGGUAAACAUAAGUUUUUUGUUUGGCAAAAAAAAAAUGUAUUUUUUCUUCAAGUUUUGCUCUCUUUUUUUGGGUUGGGCUGAAAUAGAGGGAACUUUUCAAUUUGGGAAGUCCAAGCCCAAGUUCUUCUUGCUUUUAGAGGACAAGAUUUGUGGACUCAAAGGCCUACAACAUUCAAUUGUGGGCUGCAAGCCUGUAGCACCCAAGGACCUUGUUUUUUUGUUUUUUUUUCUAACCCGUAAUGGGUUCUUAGAUGUGGGCUUUGAGUCUUGUGCCUCGAGCCAUGACUCAUGUAUCGGCUAGGUAAAAUCAGGUCUAAUUAUUUUAGCAUAAUCUUUAUUAGUGCACCAAAUAAUCUAAUUAUUCAAAUAAGUUGGUACUACCAUGUUCAUACCGGCCCAUAAAAAAGGCUAUAAAUAUGCUAGAAUCAGUCGCCUACUUGCAUGUGAAAUGACUUUUUGACGUAUGUAACAAAUGUCUUUGUUUUAAUAGGUGUAACCCAUUAAACAAAGAAAAAGGAAUGAGAGUUUUGAGACCUUUUUUCUUUACAAAAUUGGACUACAUAAGCUACAUGAUUUUUUUUUUUUGCACAGUUGGAGUUAUGGGCGCUAGUGGUAAAUAUACAGUUAUAGUAUUCUGAAAAAAUAUAUUCAUAGCUAGAAUUUUUCACAAAAAAGGCUAGG